UAUCUCUGUUACUAUUAAAGCUUUUGACUUGAAACUCAAAAUAGUUAUUUACUAUCAAAGUCUACACCAGGAGACACAAUUCUCAUAACUAUAAUUUUAAUUUUAACAGUUAUGCUCCUUUUUAACUUGGAUUUUUGUUUUACUGGCAAAGCUCAAAUUCAGAGUCAAGCACUGAGAAAAGUCGAGCGCGCUGUCUUACGGACAGCUCUUGUUUAUACGCCCGUCUCUGAAAAAGCGGGGCGUAUUAUGUGAACACCCGUCGUGGGCGGUCGGUGUCCUAAAGCACUCUCUUUAAGUCAAACAGUUUUCAUCCAAACUUGGUGACAAUGUUUGUUGCCAUAAUAUCUCGGCCAAGUUCGAUAACAGCAAAAUCGCGCCAUGCACUCUUGGGUUAUGGCCGUUGAAUUACUCGAACUUUGCAGAUUUAGCCUUGUCCGUCCUCUAAGUCAGUUUUCAUCCGAUCUUCACCAAACUUGGCGACUAUGUUUGUGGGCAUAAUAUCUCGGCCAAGUUCGAUAACCAGCCAAAUUGCCUCAUGCACUCUUGGGUUAUGGCCCUUAAAUUACUCGUAAAACUGCGAAUUUAGCCUAUUGGAGUUACUUAAUGAAUGGAAUGACUAAUUUUUUUUAUCUCUACUUAAAUAUUUCUAAAGUUUCACUUAUUUCUACAUAUUAAAUGAAUAGAUGUUGCAAGAGAAACAAUCUUUUCAUCAACAAACGUUGGUAUUGCAAGAAAAGGGGACUACGGACUAUAUAAUAAACAUAAGCUUACAAAUACUAGUAUUGCAUUACAUGUAGGUCUAUUAUAGCAAGAUAAUGUUUCCUUUUUAAAUUAUAGCAAUUAGUAAGUGUAUAUGUAUUUGAUAGACUAUGGUAGAUGUAUGGUAUGUUCGCCUUAUGUAAUUUGUAUUAUAUAUGAACUGUUUUGAGUUUUACCAGUUAUGUUUAUGUUGAUUGCUUGUGAACAGAAUACAAAAUAAUUUAAUGCUGUUUUGAUCGUAACCUUGUUACAGUGACACGUUAUUUGCUCACAUGAGAGCACAAAAUGCUCAAGUGAGCAUUUGUGAUCGUCCUGUGCCCGUCUUCAUCUGUCGUCAACAACUUUGGCACAGUUGCAAUGAAACUUGGUCAGAAUGAUAGCCUUAAAAAAAUACUCUAUCAUAUGAAUUAUAAACCUAGGUCAGAUUCGUAGGAAACAUUAUUGAAUCUCUAAAGGCCACAUUUUUAACUCACAUGUCACUUUGUGACAAGGUGCGCUUUUGUGAUCGCGCAGCCUCUGUCGUCUGUCCGCCUGUGCGUAAACUUUUGCUUGUGACCACUCUAGAGGUCACAUUUUUCAUGGGAUCUUUAUGAAAGUUGGUCAGAAUGUUCAUCUUGAUGAUAUCUAGGUAAAGUUCGAAACUGGGUCACGUGCGGUCCAAAACUGUCAGAAGGUCUAAAAAUAGAAAACCUUGUGACCUCUCUAGAGGCCAUACUUUUCAAUGGAUCUUUAUGAAAGUUUGUCAGAAUGUUUACCAUGAUGAUAUAUGGCUCAAGUUUGAAACUGGGUUAUGUGCCGUCAAAAACUAGGUCAGUAGGUCAAAAAUUUAAAAAAAACCUUGUGACCACUCUAGAGGCCAUAUUUUUCACGGGAUCUGUAUAAAAGUUGGUUUGAAUGUUCAUCUUGAUGAUAUCUAGGUCAAGUUCGAAACUGGGUCAGCUGUGGUCAGAUACUAGGUCAGUAGGUCUAAAAAUAGAAAAACCUUGUGACCUCUCUAGAGGCCAUACUUUUGAAUGGAUCUUCAUGAAAAUUCAUUGGUCAGAAUGUUCAUCUUGAUGAUAUCUAGGUCAAGUUGUAAACUGGGUCAUGUGCGAUCCAAAACUCAGUAGGUCAGUAUGUCUAAAAAUAGAAAAACCUUGUGUUCUCUCUAGAAGCCAUACUUCAAAUAAUACAAAAACCUUGUGACCUCGCUAGAGGUCAUAUUUUUCAUGGGAUCUGUAUGAAAGUUGGUUUGAAUGUUCAUCUUGAUGACAUCUAGUUCGAAACUGGGUCAGCUGUGGUCAGAAACUAGGUCAGUAGGUCUAAAAAUAGAAAAACCUUGUGACCUCUCUAGAGGCCAUACUUUUGAAUGGAUCUUCAUGAAAAUUCAUUGGUCAGAAUGUUCACCUUGAUGAUAUCUAGGUCAAGUUCGAAACUGGGUCACGUGUCAUCAAUAACUAGGUCAGUAGGUCAAAUAAUAAAAAACCUUGUGACCUCUCUAGAGGCCAUAUUUUUCAAUGGAUCUUCAUGAAAAGUGGUCAGAAUUUUUUUCUUGAUGAUAUCUAGGUCAGGUUCAAAACUGGAUCACAUGAGCUCAAAAACUAUGUCACUGUGUGAAAUACUAGAAAAAACGAUGUCAUACUCAGUUCAAAACUGGGUCAUGUGGGGACAGGUGAUCGAUUCAGGACCAUCAUAGUCCUCUUGUUAUUUUAUAAUGUUUCCAGAAAUUGUUUGCAUCUAUAGAAUUUGAAACUCUAUUAUUUCAGGUCAAAAACUAGGUCACUAGGUCAAAUCAAAGAAAAACCUUGUGUAUGCGAUAGAGGAUGUAUUUUUCAACUGAUCUUCAUGGAAUUUGGUCAGAAUGAUAACCUUGAUGAAAUCUUAGCAAAGUUUGAAAACAUGUCAUCUGGGGUCAAAAACUAGGUCACUAGGUUAAAUCAAAGAAAAACAUUGUGUAUGCGUUAGAAACUGUAUUUUUCAAUUAAUCUUCAUGAAUUUUGGUCAGAAUGAUAACCUUGAUGAAAUCUAGGCUGAGUUCAAAAAUUGGUCAUCUGGGGUCAAAACUAGGUCACAAGGUCAGAUCAAAGAAAUACCUUGUGUAUGCGAUAGAGGCUGAAUGAUUGCCUUGAUGAAAUCUAGGUAGAAUUUGAAUAUGGGUCAUCUGGGGUCAAAAAGUAGGUCACUAGGUUAAAUCAAAGAAAACCCCCGUGUAUAAUAAUAAUAAUAAUAAUAACAACUUUAUUUUGAGAGGCUACACAUUUGGGUGUGCCCAAUCUUCCAUGUGGGCCUCAAUGUGUGUGUGAUAGAGGCUAUAUUUUUCAAUUGAUCUUCAUGAAAUUUGGUUAGAAUGAUAGCCUUGUUGAAAUCUAGGUAAAGUUCGAAUAUGGGUCAUCUGGGGUCAAAAACUAGGUUACUAAGUCAAAUCAAAGAAAAUACUUGUUUUUGCUCCAAUUUUAAUGAUAAUUGGUCAGAAUAUUUUUUUCCGUGAAAUCACUAGGUCAGACAUGUUGUAUUAUAGUGUGUUUCUCAGGUGAGCGACCUAGGGCCAUCUUGGCCCUCUUGUUUAACUAUCAGGUCAUGCAUAUUAAAUGAAAGUACUGCGGCAACAUACAAUACAAAAGGUACAAUACAGAUUUUUUUCUGGCUGUUCAUAUUAACUUGUGAAAUACAAGCAAUAUAUUUGACAGAAGUUUUAUAGGUAAAUAAUAAAAAGUUAUAUAAUUUCAUACAUUCUGUUGUAUAUACUGUAAUAAAAGAUUGUCGUUUUAUGAUAUUGCUUUAUUGACGUUGAAAAUCGUUUGCUCAUUAUAUUUGCUUUGUCUAUAUUAAUGAUAAAAAUAGUAUCAAUUUAAAUGGGUGUAGUUUCAGUAGUUGUUAUUGAACGAGUUAAGUUGAAUGAUAGCAUUCGAGCACUUGGCGAGCAUAAUAUUGUUUAAUCAACGAGUUCUAUAACUAAAGGCAUUUUUAUUCAAAAUCUUUUAUCACAUAAAAGUUAGAAAAUAUGCUCUACUUUGACUCCAGUAUUAUAAUCCUGGUACUAUAAGCAAUGAAGACAGGUAUAAUUUGGCUACCCAGUCCUGAGCUUUCAAAUAGUGCAAGUAUUGACCAGUCUGACGAAAAAGCCUUAUGAUUAUGAUAAACUGAAUUCUUUCGGUUUGUCGGUAGUGUACAAAUUGGUUUUAUCUCAUCACAGCUGUGCAAAAGCAGUUUCAUAAUAAAUAUUAUUACAUAUUCGUUUCUAUUUCCCGUUAAGUUACACUGGUACCGUAAACGUCAAUAUUUUUCCAUGCACUGACGCCUGAAUUUCAUAUCGAGAGCGUGACAUAAUUCAGUGUGUGUUGUUGCACUAUUUUUUUCUGUUUAGUUCAGUAUUGUCAGGCUGUUGAACAAAUUUAUGAUAUUUACAUUAUAUUUAUACGUGUAGAUGCUUAUGUAAUAAAAAGAUUAUUAUCUUUGUAUCGGGAAAUAUGCACUCGUUCUUUAGCAGAAGAAUAUUGUGCUCCUAGAGUCAUGCAGUAUUUCCGCUGAAGAACUCAUGCAUAUUUCCAGAUACAAAGCUAAUAACUUAAACCUAUAAUUAUAGUUCAUGAAGUGUAUGUCCAUACUUGAAUAUUUUAUUUCAUUUUUUAUGUCAUUAACUUUUUAAUGCAUGACCUAGUGUAGGUUCUCAGGGUAACACAUAUUUUGAUAAAUAAUAAAUAAAAAUUGUGUGAGUAAUUUAUUGAAAUUGCAUAAAUAUAUGAAUAUAAUUAAAAUAUGUCACUGAA